AAAACUCUCAAGUGUGGGGCUCGCCUUGGACGCAGUCUUCUGAUUAGGCUGUGCCUCCACCAUGAAAUUCACACGCGUGUCUCACCCUUGUCCUGCCCCCUGCCCAGGUGGGACGGUGUGACGAGGGGGCUGGAGCUGGGUACAGCCCUUCUCCCAGCUCAGGUGGGCUCUGACUAAAUGAGCGGCAAAACACAUAAAACAGCCGGCAGGUGACUGGGUCUCCUUGGAGCUUUUAUCUCAAACGUGUAGCACGGAGCCUGCACCAGCUGCCUCAGCCAAGCUCGAUUGAAUAUCCCUUUGGCAUCGGAAGGUUUUGGAUUUCAGAUUUGGAAGAUUUGCAUGAUCUUGUUAAGUUGUCCAGGCUGGGCUGGAAUUUUCCAUUCUCCUGCCUCAGUCUCCCAGAGUGCCGAGGGCAUAGGCAUGCACCAUCAUCCCUGAUGUGGAUUUCGUAUUGUUGCCCUCUGCUCUGGAGAGCUGGGUUGAGGCCCCUAUUAUAAUCUGUAACUCCAGGCCGAUAAAGGAGAGGGACAAUCUUUGUGUGGCAGCCUGAAAAUCAGAUGAUGAUGCAGUUUCACUUAUGAAGACUUGUUGAGAUAAAUGAACAAGGAAUUCUUGCCACAGCUCCAUGGUCUCCAGUGUUAACAUUUCUGCAUUCAUCCUGGGCAGACUUGCUCUUCCUCCAUCAAUCCAAAGGAUUCCUUUGUUUCUAAUAACACCAAAGCCUCAGACUUAAAUCAGCCUAGGAGUCAGCAGCCAAAACGGACACCUCAUGUUUAUCCUAUUGUAUCAAUGUUCCAUGGUGUUUGCAAACAAAGAAUAUAUAGAAGGCUAUGAAAGCUAUCUGAGCAGGGCUGCUUUGUCACAGAUUUUAGCCAUGGAGACACUGAGCUUGACACAGAGGACAAGAGAGAGAAAGAAAAAUGAGCUUUGUGGAAAGUUUUCCAGGAAGUGAAAAGUCCACUUGCUAAUUCCCCCUGAGUGACUGAAUGGCGACAGCUGGUAAAAUAGAUGGCAUGGUUAUUCAUGUCCUUUUUUUGGAACCCGUGACUGCUAUUUCUUGGUGGCCCAGUGGUAGGUUGGAUAGGUGGCUUGCUCAGCCACCAGUGAACAGAGAGACCCAGAAGGUUAGAUGUUUCAGAAGGUGUUAGAAGCAAUCAAGCUUGUAUUCAAGGGGGAUAGCAGGUAGUAGGAGACAUGAAUGAACUUUCUGGAAUGAUGGACAAGUCUAUAUCCUGACUGGGUUUUAGUUAUACAGGUAUUAGUUGAAACUCAAUGAACUGCAUGCUUAUGUUUUGGACAUUCCCAUAAAAUGUAAAUUUUAUCUCAAUAAAAGUAAUCCUUCACACUAGACAGGAAGGAGGCAGCCUUGGAGAUACACAGAACAGCCCUAGAAUGUUUCUAAGAAUUUAAAAAAUAUGUGUCUUAGUCAUUUUUCUGUUGCUUGGACAAAA